rnacentral:rRNA from 1 species
GACGAACGCUGGCGGCGUGCUUAACACAUGCAAGUCGAGCGGUAAGGCCCUUUCGGGGGUACACGAGCGGCGAACGGGUGAGUAACACGUGGGUGACCUGCCCUCAGCUCUGGGAUAAGCCUGGGAAACCGGGUCUAAUACUGGAUAUGACUCCAUGACGCAUGUUGUGGGGUGGAAAGCCUUGUGCGGCUGAGGAUGGGCCCGCGGCCUAUCAGCUUGUUGGUGGGGGAUGGCCUACCAAGGCGACGACGGGUAGCCGGCCUGGGAGGGCGACCGGCCACACUGGGACUGAGACACGGCCCAGACUCCUACGGGAGGCAGCAGUGGGGAAUCUUGCGCAAUGGGCGAAAGCCUGACGCAGCGACGCCGCGUGAGGGAUGACGGCCU